CAGUAGCCGCGGUAAUACGAAGGGGGCUAGCGUUGCUCGGAAUCACUGGGCGUAAAGGGUGCGUAGGCGGGUCUUUAAGUCAGGGGUGAAACCCUGGAGCUCAACUCCAGAACUGCCUUUGAUACUGAAGAUCUUGAGUUCGGGAGAGGUGAGUGGAACUGCGAGUGUAGAGGUGAAAUUCGUAGAUAUUCGCAAGAACACCAGUGGCGAAGGCGGCUCACUGGCCCGAUACUGACGCUGAGGCACGAAAGCGUGGGGAGCAAUCAGGAUUAGAUACCCCCGUAGUCCCUGUCUCUUAUAC
rnacentral:rRNA from 1 species